UAAGUGGCGGACGGGUGAGUAAUGCAUAAAAAUCUGCCCUUUGGCUAGGAAUAACGAUUGGAAACGAUUGCUAAGACCUAAUAUGCUGAGAAGUGAAACAAAGGAUGAGUUUAUGUCUGAUUAGCUAGUUGGUGAGAUAAAAGCUCACCAAGGCAACGAUCAGUAGCUGGUUUGAGAGGAUGAUCAGCCACAUUGGGACUGAGACACGGCCCAAACUCCUACGGGAGGCAGCAGUAAGGAAUUUUCCGCAAUGGGCGCAAGCCUGACGGAGCAAUACCGCGUGAAGGAAGACGGUCCAUGGACUGUAAACUUCUUUUGAUAGAAAUGAAGUUCUGACAAUUAUCUAAUAGAAAAAGCAUCGGCUAACUCCGUGCCAGCAGCCGCGGUAAUACGGGGGAUGCAAGCGUUAUCCGGAAUGAUUGGGCGUAAAGCGUCUGUCGGUGGGUUAGAAGUCUGUACGUAAAUCGUAAAGCUCACUUACUAAGCUACAGAAACUCUAGUAGCUAACGCGUAAGUUCCGCUGGGAGUACGAUCGCNAGNUGAACUCAAGGAUUGACGGGGCCCAUCAACCGGUGGACAUGUGGUUAAUUCGAUGGCACGCGAAGAACCUUACCAAGGUUUGAAAUCAGCGCUUGACGAUAAGAAAGUUGUGUCUUUUAUGGCGUUGACAGGUGGUGCAUGGCUGUCGUCAGCUCGUGUCGUGAGAUGUUGCGUUAAGUCGCGCAACGAGCGCACCCUUGUCGAUUUGUUAUGAUAAACGAACGAGACUGCCAAUGAUACAUUGGAGGAAGGAGAGGACGACGUCAAGUCAUCAUGCCCCUUACACCUUGGGCUACACACGUGUUACAAUGGCCAGGACAAUGAGCAGCUACCCUGUAAAGGCAAGCGAAUCUCAAAAACCUGGUCUCAGUUCGGAUUGAGGGCUGAAACUCGCCCUCAUGAAGUCGGAAUCGGUAGUAAUCCCGGGUCAGCCAUACCGGGGUGAAUACGACCCUGGGCCUUGUACACACCGCCCGUCACACCAUGGAAAUUGGCCAGACCCGAAGUCAUUUUCUGAACCUUUUUGGACAGAGAUGCCUAAGGUCGGGCUGGUAGCUGGGGUGAAGUCGUAAUCAGGUAGCCNUCCAGGG
rnacentral:rRNA from 1 species